UUGGAGGGCAAGUCUGGUGCCAGCAGCCGCGGUAAUUCCAGCUCCAAUAGCGUAUAUUAAAGUUGUUGCAGUUAAAAAGCUCGUAGUUGAAUUUCGGGGUUCUACCGUUGGUCGGGCUUUGUCUGUACUGGUGUGUAGAAUUUCUACCUUCUGGGGAACCAUCAUGCUAUUAAUUUAGCGUGGUGGGAAACCAGGACCUUUACCUUGAAAAAAUUAGUGUGUUCAAAGCAGGCUUAUGUCUGAAUACAUUAGCGUGGAAUAAUAGAAUAGGACGGUGGUCCUGUUUUGUUGGUUUCUGAAUCACCGUAAUGAUUAAUAGGGAUAGUUGGGGGCAUUAGUAUUCAAUUGCCAGAGGUGAAAUUCUUGGAUUUAUUGAGGACUAACUUCUGCGAAAGCAUUUGCCGAGGAUGUUUUCAUUAAUCAAGAACGAAAGUUAGGGGAUCGAAGACGAUCAGAUACCGUCGUAGUCUUAACCAUAAACUAUGCCGACUAGGGAUCGGACGAUGUUAAUUUUUCUUGACUCGUUCGGCGCCUUACGGGAAAC
rnacentral:rRNA from 1 species